GGUUCUGUACUGUUACGUCUCCCAGUCCUACAGAGUUGUUCUGUCCUUCGAGGAGAAGAGCAAAGCUACAGUGGACGACAGAUCUGAUCCUGAAGCAUUUCUGACUCGUCACGAGCUUCAUCUGGUGUCUCCGGACCAGUCAGAA